GACGAACGCUGGCGGCGUGCCUAAUACAUGCAAGUUGAGCGCUGAAGGUUGGUACUUGUACCGACUGGAUGAGCAGCGAACGGGUGAGUAACGCGUGGGGAAUCUGCCUUUGAGCGGGGGACAACAUUUGGAAACGAAUGCUAAUACCGCAUAAAAACUUUAAACACAAGUUUUAAGUUUGAAAGAUGCAAUUGCAUCACUCAAAGAUGAUCCCGCGUUGUAUUAGCUAGUUGGUGAGGUAAAGGCUCACCAAGGCGAUGAUACAUAGCCGACCUGAGAGGGUGAUCGGCCACAUUGGGACUGAGACACGGCCCAAACUCCUACGGGAGGCAGCAGUAGGGAAUCUUCGGCAAUAGACGAAAGUCUGACCGAGCAACGCCGCGGGAGUGAAGAAGGGUUUCGGAUCGUAAAACUCUGUUGGUAGAGAAGAACGUUGGUGAGAGUGGAAAGCUCAUCAAGUGACGGUAACUACCCAGAAAGGGACGGCUAACUACGUG
rnacentral:rRNA from 1 species